UACGUAGGGGGCUAGCGUUGCUCGGAAUCACUGGGCGUAAAGGGUGCGUAGGCGGGUCUUUAAGUCAGGGGGGAAAUCCUGGAGCUCAACUCCAGAACUGCCUUUGAUACUGAAGAUCUUGAGUUCGGGAGAGGUGAGUGGAACUGCGAGUGUAGAGGUGAAAUUCGUGGAUAUUCGCAAGAACACCAGUGGCGAAGGCGGCUCACUGGCCCGAUACUGACGCUGAGGCACGAAAGCGUGGGGAGCAAACAGG
rnacentral:rRNA from 1 species